GCCCCGGGCCCUGAGGGGAGCGGGCGGCAGCGGCAGGGCUGGCGGCGCGCGGGCGGAGAUCGCCCGCGUCCCGCCGCGCCGGGCUCCUUCGGUAACGGAUGGGGCGGCGAACUAGAGAGGUCUGGGCGCAUCAGGCAAGUUGCGUGCGGCGAGCGGCGUCUGCUCAAAAAGGCUACACAUGGUGAUGAUGUGAAGCCUUAAGAGACGUUUCUGGCAUACUGGAGUAGCCUGAGAGGAGUGAUUGAAGUUUAAAUUCUCUCAGGCUGGAGAGACAGCUGGAACCAGUGCUUGGUUUAGGUUUCUUACUGUUGUAAAAGAAAGGGAAGCCUGAGGAACCAAGAAGUUAGGAGGACUUGCCUAAAGUCACGGAGUGAGUAAAAUAAUAGAAGCAGAAUGAAAACAGAAAAAGCCUGACUACUUAUCUCCCAGCAGAUGAAUAAUUCUCUCCAGUGCUGUUAUUGAAUUAUAUCAGAGAGUCUGACAUUCUCAAUUUUCUUACCUCCAAUAAGAUUCCCUCAUUGUCCAAUAAUGUUUUGCUGCUUAAUUAUCUCAACAGUAAUCAGAAGCAUGAACCUGUUCCUCAGCCUAUAAAAUCCUCCUGUAUUUAAAUUGAAAUAAGAAAGAAGUGUUUAAAUGAGAAAACCAAAAAUCAAGAUUUGUCUCACCAGGAAAAUAAACACUGUAGGAGGCAAUUACCGAGCAACACAUAUGCCAUACGUGGAUGUAGGCUUCAGCUGUAGGGUUGAUUUUCCUUGUGCAGACAUAACAAAAUGAUACCUAAACCCAACAUGAAUUGAAGUAUUCAAAAUAAAACUAUCAUCUCAUUGAAUAAUUCACUUUCCACAGGAUUUUCUGAACCUUGCACUAUAGAUCCACGUUCUCAGUGUGCCUGGAAACUAUUCUCUGAAUAGGCUCCUUGGCCACCACACUACUUUAUUGAACUUUGCUAUCUUGCUAAAUAAUAUAUCCUCCCACAAUACAUCCACUGUUUUAUUUGGCCUGGAGACCUAUGGGACUCAUUCAUUCUCCAAAAUCGUAAGUUAUCAGGUCAUGUACUGAUUAUGGAGCAUAGCCAAGGUCUAAAUACAGAGCAACUAAAAUUACAGUUUCUGGGAACGUAUCAAUAGUAUCUAAUCCCAUUGCUUUUUUUCUUGAUUGCCAGGUGACUCCAGUCUCUAUUUAAAUAUAAAAUAUAGACGUUUCAAAGUGGACUAAGUAUGGAUUUCACAAUCAGCCAGUCUUUAAACCCUGGCCUGUGCAGAGCUGUAUGUCCAUGCUGGAAUCCUGGCUGUUUCUGCCACUGGCUGUGCCCACCUUGUACCUGGCAGAACUUCCCUGGCCACAUUUUGAGCUCCAGGAUGUGACCCAGUACUAGGCAUCUGUUCCUCCAGGCAGACUUAAUUCAGCUAAAGCCCUGGGUGUCUACUGCUGUGUCUGUUUUUGAGGCAAGCAAUAUCAAGGAGUUUUAAAGGAGGUCCAACUUUUGUCUUCUCUCCCUGUCUCAGGCCAUCUUUUCUCUCCCUCUUCUGGACCAUGGCAAUGGGGACAGCUGGAGAAACUAUGGAAAAAGCUCUGUCUGAUCACAUGGCAGACAACUGCACAGUACAGAACAUUAAAUGUAAACUCAACUGAGAUUUCUUGUGGAAGAAACAAGCACACAGGGUGUUUCUGCAAAUAACAUAUUUUAGCUUUGAGCUCAUCCCAGGAACCUCUGUGCAGCAGUGUAAGGGCAGCCACUGACAACCAUAUGUUCUAGCCACAUAGAAAUGGGGUGUAAUUUUUUUUAAAUCAGAUCUCUAAAGACAAGUAUCUAUAAACUGACAGAUCUAUGUUAUUUUUGGUCUAAGCUUGCAUUAACUCCGAAGUUGGUCAGAAAACUGUUCUAUUCUCUUUUUUGUUUAACUAUUCAAACUAACAGAUGCAUUUCCUAUCAUUUGGUGCUUUUUCUGUCAAUAACACACAAAUCCCAUGGAAACAUGCCAAGGAUUUUCUUAGCAACCAAGCCUCUUGCCUGAUAUACACGAUUAACUACAACAGUCUGUUAAAAGCUUAAAAUAAACCAUCUUUUU
ensembl:lncRNA